GACAGAGGUGCCGAGCGUUAGGCGGAAUCACUGGGCUUAAAGCGUGUGUAGGCGGGUCGUUAAGUGUCUUGUGAAAUCCCACCGCUCAACGGUGGAACUGCUGGGCAUACUGGCGAUCUUGAGCCACCUAGGGGCAGACGGAACAAGCGGUGGAGCGGCGAAAUGCGUAGAUAUCGCUUGGAACGCCGACGGUGAAAACAGUCUGCUGGGGGUGUGCUGACGCUGAGACACGAAAGCCAGGGGAGCGAACGGG
rnacentral:rRNA from 1 species